rnacentral:lncRNA from 1 species
CAGAAGUGCUGGUCACUGUUUCCAGGCCUUGAUGGUAAAAAUCCUCCUCCCAGCCCUCCACGUUCUCUAUCUGUCCCCAUCUGCAACUGAAUGCAGAGAAGGAAGGUGUCAUAGAAGAUGCAGAGCCACAUGAUGAAAGGAGCCUGGCUCCCUGGAUGGUGGAACAGUCUCCACAAUGACCCUCAUUGGACUGUGAUGUGAGUGAGAUUGAAACAUCAUUGUGUUCGCCACUGGAAUUUGAGUUUGUAUGCUGCAACAGUGUCUUUGUUUGGGUUCCUCCCAGGAUCAGGUUCUGAGAUAUGGAUUGGUGUCCAAGUAGUUUAUUGGGAGGUGAUCCCAGGAAACAUCAGUAUACAGGCAAGUGGGAGAGUGAGAAGGAAAAGGGAUGGAUUCCAAUGAAUGGCACAUUAUCUACCAGUUUGUACUGUGGCAGCUGGAGCUCAGUCACACAAGGAAACUCUGGGAGGCAAUACAGGACAUAUCUCAGAGCUAUCCUAACUGAAAGGUGGCUCAAGACAAUUCUUCUUCUUCCGAUGUGGCCCAGCGAAGCCAAAAGAUUGGACAACCCUGCAAUGAAAUUGUGUGCUCAGAUAGGCUUUUGAAAUUGGCACCACUUAAUAAUCUCUGAAUCAUCAUGAAAUAUGUUGGUAUGAGGCCAGUUCUUCUUUAUUGUAUGUAUUUUUGGCUAAACUAUG